rnacentral:rRNA from 1 species
CAACCCUCAAGCUCUGCUUGGUAUUGGGCGCCGUCCUCUCUGCGGACGCGCCUUAAAGACCUCGGCGGUGGCUGUUCAGCCCUCAAGCGUAGUAGAAUACACCUCGCUUUGGAGCGGUUGGCGUCGCCCGCCGGACGAACCUUCUGAACUUUUCUCAAGGU